GGUUAAGCGACUAAGCGUACACGGUGGAUGCCCUGGCAGUCAGAGGCGAUGAAGGACGUGCUAAUCUGCGAUAAGCGUCGGUAAGGUGAUAUGAACCGUUAUAACCGGCGAUUUCCGAAUGGGGAAACCCAGUGUGAUUCGUCACACUAUCAUUAACUGAAUCCAUAGGUUAAUGAGGCGAACCGGGGGAACUGAAACAUCUAAGUACCCCGAGGAAAAGAAAUCAACCGAGAUUCCCCCAGUAGCGGCGAGCGAACGGGGAGCAGCCCAGAGCCUGAAUCAGUGUGUGUGUUAGUGGAAGCGUCUGGAAAGGCGCGCGAUACAGGGUGACAGCCCCGUACACAAAAAUGCACAUACUGUGAGCUCGAUGAGUAGGGCGGGACACGUGGUAUCCUGUCUGAAUAUGGGGGGACCAUCCUCCAAGGCUAAAUACUCCUGACUGACCGAUAGUGAACCAGUACCGUGAGGGAAAGGCGAAAAGAACCCCGGCGAGGGGAGUGAAAAAGAACCUGAAACCGUGUACGUACAAGCAGUGGGAGCACAGAGCAAUCUGUGUGACUGCGUACCUUUUGUAUAAUGGGUCAGCGACUUAUAUUCUGUAGCAAGGUUAACCGAAUAGGGGAGCCGAAGGGAAACCGAGUCUUAACUGGGCGUUAAGUUGCAGGGUAUAGACCCGAAACCCGGUGAUCUAGCCAUGGGCAGGUUGAAGGUUGGGUAACACUAACUGGAGGACCGAACCGACUAAUGUUGAAAAAUUAGCGGAUGACUUGUGGCUGGGGGUGAAAGGCCAAUCAAACCGGGAGAUAGCUGGUUCUCCCCGAAAGCUAUUUAGGUAGCGCCUCGUGAAUUCAUCUCCGGGGGUAGAGCACUGUUUCGGCAAGGGGGUCAUCCCGACUUACCAACCCGAUGCAAACUGCGAAUACCGGAGAAUGUUAUCACGGGAGACACACGGCGGGUGCUAACGUCCGUCGUGAAGAGGGAAACAACCCAGACCGCCAGCUAAGGUCCCAAAGUCAUGGUUAAGUGGGAAACGAUGUGGGAAGGCCCAGACAGCCAGGAUGUUGGCUUAGAAGCAGCCAUCAUUUAAAGAAAGCGUAAUAGCUCACUGGUCGAGUCGGCCUGCGCGGAAGAUGUAACGGGGCUAAACCAUGCACCGAAGCUGCGGCAGCGACGCUUAUGCGUUGUUGGGUAGGGGAGCGUUCUGUAAGCCUGUGAAGGUGUGCUGUGAGGCAUGCUGGAGGUAUCAGAAGUGCGAAUGCUGACAUAAGUAACGAUAAAGCGGGUGAAAAGCCCGCUCGCCGGAAGACCAAGGGUUCCUGUCCAACGUUAAUCGGGGCAGGGUGAGUCGACCCCUAAGGCGAGGCCGAAAGGCGUAGUCGAUGGGAAACAGGUUAAUAUUCCUGUACUUGGUGUUACUGCGAAGGGGGGACGGAGAAGGCUAUGUUGGCCGGGCGACGGUUGUCCCGGUUUAAGCGUGUAGGCUGGUUUUCCAGGCAAAUCCGGAAAAUCAAGGCUGAGGCGUGAUGACGAGGCACUACGGUGCUGAAGCAACAAAUGCCCUGCUUCCAGGAAAAGCCUCUAAGCAUCAGGUAACAUCAAAUCGUACCCCAAACCGACACAGGUGGUCAGGUAGAGAAUACCAAGGCGCUUGAGAGAACUCGGGUGAAGGAACUAGGCAAAAUGGUGCCGUAACUUCGGGAGAAGGCACGCUGAUAUGUAGGUGAAGUCCCUCGCGGAUGGAGCUGAAAUCAGUCGAAGAUACCAGCUGGCUGCAACUGUUUAUUAAAAACACAGCACUGUGCAAACACGAAAGUGGACGUAUACGGUGUGACGCCUGCCCGGUGCCGGAAGGUUAAUUGAUGGGGUCAGCGCAAGCGAAGCUCUUGAUCGAAGCCCCGGUAAACGGCGGCCGUAACUAUAACGGUCCUAAGGUAGCGAAAUUCCUUGUCGGGUAAGUUCCGACCUGCACGAAUGGCGUAAUGAUGGCCAGGCUGUCUCCACCCGAGACUCAGUGAAAUUGAACUCGCUGUGAAGAUGCAGUGUACCCGCGGCAAGACGGAAAGACCCCGUGAACCUUUACUAUAGCUUGACACUGAACAUUGAGCCUUGAUGUGUAGGAUAGGUGGGAGGCUUNGAAGUGUGGACGCCAGUCUGCAUGGAGCCGACCUUGAAAUACCACCCUUUAAUGUUUGAUGUUCUAACGUUGACCCGUAAUCCGGGUUGCGGACAGUGUCUGGUGGGUAGUUUGACUGGGGCGGUCUCCUCCUAAAGAGUAACGGAGGAGCACGAAGGUUGGCUAAUCCUGGUCGGACAUCAGGAGGUUAGUGCAAUGGCAUAAGCCAGCUUGACUGCGAGCGUGACGGCGCGAGCAGGUGCGAAAGCAGGUCAUAGUGAUCCGGUGGUUCUGAAUGGAAGGGCCAUCGCUCAACGGAUAAAAGGUACUCCGGGGAUAACAGGCUGAUACCGCCCAAGAGUUCAUAUCGACGGCGGUGUUUGGCACCUCGAUGUCGGCUCAUCACAUCCUGGGGCUGAAGUAGGUCCCAAGGGUAUGGCUGUUCGCCAUUUAAAGUGGUACGCGAGCUGGGUUUAGAACGUCGUGAGACAGUUCGGUCCCUAUCUGCCGUGGGCGCUGGAGAACUGAGGGGGGCUGCUCCUAGUACGAGAGGACCGGAGUGGACGCAUCACUGGUGUUCGGGUUGUCAUGCCAAUGGCACUGCCCGGUAGCUAAAUGCGGAAGAGAUAAGUGCUGAAAGCAUCUAAGCACGAAACUUGCCCCGAGAUGAGUUCUCCCUGACUCCUUGAGAGUCCUGAAGGAACGUUGAAGACGACGACGUUGAUAGGCCGGGUGUGUAAGCGCAGCGAUGCGUUGAGCUAACCGGUACUAAUGAACCGUGAGGCUUAACCUU
rnacentral:rRNA from 1 species